AUUGAACGCUGGCGGCAGGCCUAACACAUGCAAGUCGACCGAGCGUCGGACGGGUGAGUAAUAUCUUGGAAACUGCCCGUUGGAGGGGGCUAACUCUUCGAAACGCUAGCUAUUAUCGCAUACGCUCUCAUGUGCCCAGAUGUGAUUAGCUAGUGGGUGGGGUAACGGCUCACCUAGGCGACGAUCCCUAGCUGGUCUGAGAGGAUGACCAGCCACACUGGAACUGGGACACGGGCCAGACGCCUACGGGAGGCAGCAGUGGGGAAUAUUGCACAAUGGGCGCAAGCCUGAUGCAGCCAUGCCGCGUGUGUGAAGAAGGCCUUCGGGUUGUAAAGCACUUUCAGCGGGGAGGCGUUACCCGCAGAAGAAGCACCGGCUAACUCCGUGCCAGCAGCCGCGGUAAUUC
rnacentral:rRNA from 1 species